AAAGCAGAGGAUUCCCAGAGAACUGCUACUUUGGAAUCCGGCGUUGAGACUGUAUUUAGGGGGAGGCAAUACCUUGGAGUCAAGAGUGAAGCAGUGGCGUGAACAAAGAUGGCUGAGGAGGGUGUGGGAUGCCCUCUGUCUCCGUGGAGAGGAGGAUCUCUGUUCAUGAGGCCCCUUGGCCCCAGGGGGUGAAAUGUGGGGGGGACUGGUGUCCCGAAGUUGAGAGACUACUGCUUCUGGAACUGGGUGGAGCAUCCUUAAAUGUGGAACCCUAAAGCAGUCCUGGCCCAUGUCCAGUGGUGAGAGCACUGGACAUGGGGGGAAGAAGUCACGAGGGCCAAUGUUCUCUGGGCGGUGCCAUGAGUGACACGGAAACACAAGAGGUUUCAGUUGUGUAUCCGGGGGAAGCCUGUGGUGCAAGGGGGGACUCCUCUCUUCCUGAUGGAUUUGAGGGUUGAUUAUUUGAGGGGUGAUGAUGGACUGAAAGUUGAUUAUGUGAGAGAUUGGUGACAGGGUGAAAAUCUAUGAUGUUAUUUCAUUCUGUGGAGAAAAUGGGAGGGGGGAGGAGGAAUGUAUUUGGAGGGUUUUCAUUCUUAGCUUUGUGUGUGUUCCUUUUUAGAUAUUGUAAUUAAUAAAGUGUUGUGUUU